rnacentral:tRNA from 1 species
GCCUCCGUAGCUCAGGGGAUAGAGCACAGCUCUCCUAAAGCUGGUGUCGCGCGUUCGAAUCGCGCCGGGGGCACCA